rnacentral:rRNA from 1 species
GUGAGGAAUAUUGGUCAAUGGACGAGAGUCUGAACCAGCCAAGUCGCGUGAAGGAAGACGGUUCUAUGAAUUGUAAACUUCUUUUGUGCAGGAAUAAAGUGGGUUACGUGUAACCUUUUGUAUGUACUGUACGAAUAAGGAUCGGCUAACUCCGUGCCAGCAGCCGCGGUAAUACGGAUGAUCCGAGCGUUAUCCGGAUUUAUUGGGUUUACAGGGUGCGUAGGUGGAUUGAUAAGUCAGCGGUGAAAGUUUGCAGCUUAACUGUAAAAUUGCCGUUGAAACUGUCGGUCUUGAGUGCAAAUGAGGUAGGCGGAAUGUGUUGUGUAGCGGUGAAAUGCUUAGAUAUAACACAGAACUCCGAUUGCGAAGGCAGCUUACUGGGAUGCAACUGACACUGAUGCACGAAAGCGUGGGUAUCAAACAGGAUUAGAAACCCGGGUAGUCC